rnacentral:rRNA from 1 species
GACGAACGCUGGCGGCGUGCUUAACACAUGCAAGUCGAACGGAAAGGCCCUGCUUUUGUGGGGUGCUCGAGUGGCGAACGGGUGAGUAACACGUGAGUAACCUGCCCCUGACUUUGGGAUAACUUCAGGAAACUGGGGCUAAUACCGGAUAGGAGCUCCUGCUGCAUGGUGGGGGUUGGAAAGUUUCGGCGGUUGGGGAUGGACUCGCGGCUUAUCAGCUUGUUGGUGGGGUUGUGGCUUACCAAGGCUUUGACGGGUAGCCGGCCUGAGAGGGUGACCGGCCACAUUGGGACUGAGAUACGGCCCAGACUCCUACGGGAGGCAGCAGUGGGGAAUAUUGCACAAUGGGCGGAAGCCUGAUGCAGCAACGCCGCGUGCGGGAUGACGGCCUUCGGGUUGUAAACCGCUUUCGCCUGUGACGAAGCGUGCUUGACGGUAAUGGGUAAAGAAGCACCGGCUAACUACGUG